rnacentral:lncRNA from 1 species
CAAAUGAAUAACCACACUGAAAGGGGGAAAAAGAAAUCUGAGUAGUUUAUGAAUACCCAUUAGACCAUAUUCCAUUAGACUUAGGUAGCGUGGGAGUCAGGAAGGACUUAAACACUAAACUCUUUUUACUGGGUUUGUUUUUGUACAGCAUGGACACAGAAGGAUUCUGAAAUGAUUUUAGAUAUUUCGUGGUAUUGAGCAAAUCAGUAAACACAUUGUUGUUGAGAUCCAGAGUUCUCACUGUGGAGAAGAAAGUUACAAAUACAGAAAGAGAGAAGACAUGGAUGUAAGAAGAAUGGACUGCAAUUGGAGAUUGCCUUUUGGUUGCAAGGGGAACAAUAAUAAUUACACAGUGCAGAAAUCAGAUACCCCUUUGACUAGUGACUGAAAUGAACAUCACCAAUAAAGGACAGACAGACAUCAUGUGCCUCUGGAUACGAUGCCCCAAAGAGGAGGUAAUACUACUCUUGUACUAUUUGACUGGAAAUGCAUAGCCUGAGUUUAAUGAUGAGGAAGCGUUAUAGAAGCCCCAAACAAGGAACAUUCCAUCUUACAAACAGGAACUGUUUUUAACAUGUCAGUGUCAUAAAGAAGAAAAAAAUCUAAAGAGAUAUGUCAACUCACUACGAUAUAUGAUUUUAGACUGAAUCCUGUACUGAAAAAACAUUACUGUGUCUGAUAGGCAGCCACUAAAAUGGUCCCACUUCCAGAUAUUUGCCCCUCUGUAUAAUCAUUUCCCUUGAAUGUAGGCUGAACUAACGACUUACUGACUUGCUUUUAAUGAAUAGAAGAUGGUAGAAGUAAUAGAAUGUCACUUCAAAGAUAAGGUUACAAAGAAAUGCUGGAAGUUUCUACCUGUGGGGCUUGUUCCCUCACUUAUUCUAAGGUACUAGCUGCCAUGCUGUGAGCAGCCCUAUGGAGAGGACCAUGUGGUGAAGAUAUGAGAGAAACUUCUGGUCAACAGCCAGUGAAGUACUGAAUCCUGCCAACAACCAUGUGAGUGAGCAGGAAAGUGGAUCCUCCCCACACUGAGCCUUCAGAUGAGACCACAGCCCUAGCCUACACAUUGAUUAUAACCUGGUCAAAGGACCCAGCUAGGCCACAUGCAUACACCUAACUCACAGAAACUGAGAUCAUAAAUGUUUGCUACUUUCAACUGCUAAGUUUUGAAGUAACUUGUUAUGUAUCUAUAGAUAACUAACACACCAUGUUCCUUGACAAAACUGGAAGCUGCAUAGUAGAUUAUAUUAAAGUAUUAUAUCAAUGUUAAA